UACAGAGGUCCCAAGCGUUGUUCGGAUUCACUGGGCGUAAAGGGUGCGUAGGUGGUGAGGUAAGUCGGAUGUGAAAUCUCCGAGCUCAACUCGGAAAUGGCAUUGGAAACUACCUUGCUCGAGGGUUGGAGGGGGGACUGGAAUACUUGGUGUAGCGGUGAAAUGCGUAGAUAUCAAGUGGAACACCAGUGGCGAAGGCGAGUCCCUGGACAACUCCUGACACUGAGGCACGAAAGCUAGGGGAGCAAACAGG
rnacentral:rRNA from 1 species